UUNGAUUGAUUAAUUGAUUGCUGUAUCUAGGAUUCCUAUGCUCGUAUACCAGGAGUAAACUGAAGGAACUGGAGCUGGGAGGAAACGGGAAUAUCACGGAGAAAGGUGUUCUGUUUAUACGGGUGUUGAAGGAACUGGAGACCCUGAAACUAUCAAAUCUACC